rnacentral:rRNA from 1 species
UACGGAGGGUGCAAGCGUUAUCCGGAUUCACUGGGUUUAAAGGGUGCGUAGGCGGGCAGGUAAGUCAGUGGUGAAAUCUCCGAGCUUAACUCGGAACUGCCGUUGAUACUAUUUGUCUUGAAUAUUGUGGAGGUAAGCGGAAUAUGUCAUGUAGCGGUGAAAUGCUUAGAUAUGACAUAGAACACCAAUUGCGAAGGCAGCUUAUUACACAACGAUUGACGCUGAGGCACGAAAGCGUGGGAUCAAACAGG